UAGAGCACAAAAGUUCAAUUGGCCAAAACCAAACUCCUGGGGCAGAAUGUUUCAGUCCCAGGAUAACUGGGACUAAUUUUUGGUGGUGCCCAAUGCCAGGACAAGAGGCAACAGGUACAAACUGGAACACAAGAGGUUCCAUCUAACCACCAGGAAGGACUUCUUUACUGUGCAGGUGACAGAGCACUGGAAUAGGCUGCCCGGAGAGGAGGUUGUAGAGUCUCCCUCCUUGCAGAUCUUCAAAAGCCAAAUGGACAUGGUCCUGCGCAACUUGCUCCCCUGCUUGAGGAGAGGGGUUGGACCAGAUGACCUCCAAAGGUCCCUUCCAAUCUCAACUGUUCUGUGAUUCUACCUCUUCCUA